rnacentral:rRNA from 1 species
CCUACGGGGGGCAGCAGUGAGGAAUAUUGGGCAAUGGACGAGAGUCUGAACCAGCAAAGUAGCGUGAAGGAUGACUGCCCUAUGGGUUGUAAACUUCUUUUAUAAAGGAAUAAAACGAGGCACGUGUGCCUUUUUGCAUGUACUUUAUGAAUAAGGAUCGGCUAACUCCGUGCCAGCAGCCGCGGUAAUACGGAGGAUCCGAGCGUUAUCCGGAUUUAUUGGGUUUAAAGGGAGCGUAGAUGGGUUGUUAAGUCAGUUGUGAAAGUUUGCGGCUCAACCGUAAAAUUGCAAUUGAUACUGGUAGUCUUGAGUACAGUUGAGGUAGGCGGAAUUCGUGGUGUAGCGGUGAAAUGCUUAGAUAUCACGAAGAACCCCGAUUGCGAAGGCAGCUUACUAAACUGUGACUGACAUUGAUGCUCGAAAGUGUGGGUAUCAAACAGGAUUAGAUACCCUAGUAGUC